rnacentral:rRNA from 1 species
UGGCGGACGGGUGAGUAACGCGUAGGUAACCUGCCUCUAAGACCGGGAUAACUCGUCGAAAGAUGGGCUAAUACUAGAUAAGACCACAAUUCCUUCGGGGAUAGGGGUCAAAGGUAGCCUCUGCAUGCAAGCUAUCACUUAGAGAUGGGCCUGCGUACCAUUAGCUAGUUGGUAGGGUAACGGCCUACCAAGGCUAAAAUGGUUAGCUGGUCUGAGAGGAUGAUCAGCCACACUGGAACUGAGACACGGUCCAGACUCCUACGGGAGGCAGCAGUGGGGAAUAUUGCGCAAUGGGCGAAAGCCUGACGCAGCAACGCCGCGUGAGUGAUGAAGGCCUUCGGGUCGUAAAGCUCUGUCGGAGGGAACGAAUGCUCUCGAGGUUAACAGCCUCGGGAAGUGACGGUACCCUCAGAGGAAGCACCGGCUAACUCUGUGCCAGCAGCCGCGGUAAU